rnacentral:lncRNA from 1 species
CUGGUGGCCCCAGCUCCACUUGGGACUAAUUAAAGGGCAGUAUUUACCACAGCCACUGGCCAAAGGUGGUUUUGGUCAUUUGCUCACCUUCUGCUGAGGCUUCAUCAGUACUUGCUCUGAGAUUUAGGUCUGUUGGGUCCCAUCCUGCCCUGGCAAGGGUCCUGCAGCUGUGCAGGGACAGCAGAAUCCCUGUCAGGCUCCUCUUCUCUCUUCCCUGUGGCAGAGUGAGCGGCUGACCUGUGGGUGACAGCAGUGCUGCCUCGCAGGCAGGCUGUUUCCCACACCAAGGCAGGAUCCCGUGGGAGACACUGUCGCAGCACAAGUUCAAAGUUAUUCGGCUGUUCAAGUUUAGAGACCGAGUGGGAAAAGCAACACUUAACAUCAGAGCUGUCUUCCUUGCUCGAGCCACACACUGCAGCACAAGGAUGCGUUGUGGUGGCCUUGUGCCCGGCUGUCCUCUCCACAGGCAGCAUGGGGCUGACCCACAGCAAACCCAACACUUCUUCAUCCCUUGUGAGACCUGGCAGCCCCGAGCCAAUCCCUUCUCACGUGUCAUGGCCUUGGCUCCCACAGAGCAAAGGGAAAAGGUGACAGAACUUUGCCAGGGUGUGGGAGGAAGCUGGAGCUGGGACACUUGUUCCUUUUGAGUGCCUUCCUCUCCAGUUUGGGGGAGCUCUGUGGGCAUGGCCAUGGGCAGGCCAGAUGUGGCUGAUGCUCCAGGGUGUCCCAAAGACACCCCCAAAUCUGGGUUUUCACUGCACAGCACUUACCUUCCCUUCUACCCAUGUCCCCUGGAGCCUAUGGGGAUUCAGAAUCGCUGGCCAAACCUGUUUUCCACAGGUCAUGGACAUGCUGCAGGAGAUGCUCACCACCACCUGCUCCCUGAAAACCACUGUUGAGGGCUUCCAGGAUGAGUUGCAGCUCCUGAAGGACAGAUUCCAGAAGCAGGCGGAUCUGGAGGAGCUGCAAGAGCAGUCAGUGAAGCAGGACGAGAACAGCCAUCUCCUCCAGAGCAUCCUGGAUCAACUGGUGAGUAGGGGGGGCCCUGGCAGAGGGACAGGGAGUGGGCAUCUGCAGCACUGUGGCACAGAGGCAUUCAGCCCUCAAGCUGUCCAGAGCCAGGCUUUGGCAAAUCCUUAUGGAAAAUGCACUCAAGCCUUCCAAGGGCUUCCCUGGCCAUGGUGACCUCUCUGGGUGAGCAU